rnacentral:lncRNA from 1 species
UUUUUGUAUUUUUUGGAUAUUGAAAACUAUUUAAAAUGAAUUAAAAACAACCAGAAAAGAGAAAAUUCAUAAAAAAAUAUCAAAUGAUAAAAUAAAAAAUAUUAAAAAUCAUUUUUAGAAAGUAGAGAUAAAAAGAGAAAUAAUGCAAUUGGUCUCACAUUUUUUGGAAUUAAAAUGAAUGAGAUAUGAUUUUUUUGAAAUGAAAUGAAAUAAAAAAAAUAAAAUGGAAAUUAAAUCAGAAAUAGAAAAAUAGAAAAAAAAACGUGGUACGUUGGAUCCAAGCUCAUUAAUUGAGCUGGCAUAUUAGAC